rnacentral:rRNA from 1 species
UACGUAGGGGGCAAGCGUUGUCCGGAUUUAUUGGGCGUAAAGAGCUCGUAGGCGGUUCCGUAAGUCGUGAAGUCAAAUCUCUGGGCUCAACCCAGAAUCGCUUCCGAUACUGCGGUGACUGGAGUCCGGUAGGGGAGUGUGGAAUUCCUGGUGUAGCGGUGAAAUGCGCAGAUAUCAGGAGGAACACCAACAGCGAAGGCAGCAUCUGGCGGGUCGACUGACGCUGAGGAGCGAAAGCAUGGGGGAGCGAACAGGG